AUUGAACGCUGGCGGCAGGCCUAACACAUGCAAGUCGAGCGGAGCGGCGGACGGGUGCGUAAUGCCUAGGUAUCUGCCUGGGAGCGGGGGAUAAGGUCAGGUAAUGGGCGCUAAUACUGCUUCCUAUCAGUAGAGGCUAGGUCGGAAUAGCUUUUUGGUGGGGUAAAGGCAUACCAAGGCGACGAUCCCUAACUGGUCUGAGAGGAUGAUCAGUCACACUGGGACUGAGAAACGGUCCAGACUCCUACGGGAGGCAGCAGUGGGGAAUAUUGGACAAUGGGCGAAAGCCUGAUCCAGCCAUGCCGCGUGUAUGAAGAAGGUCUUCGGGUUGUAAAGCACUUUAAGUGGGGAGGCGUUACCAGCAGAAGAAGCACCGGCUAACUUCGUGCCAGCAGCCGCGGUAAUAC
rnacentral:rRNA from 1 species